GGGAGUAGCAAUACUCCCGCCGGCGACCGGCGCACGGGUGAGUAACACGUAUGAAACCUGCCCGUAGCAGGGGGAUAAGCGGAAGAAAUUCCGUCUAAUACCGCGUAACAACCCUUGGAGGCAUCUCCUCGGGUUUAAAGGAAGCGAUUCCGGCUACGGAUGGUCAUGCGUCGCAUUAGCUAGUUGGCGGGGUAACGGCCCACCAAGGCGACGAUGCGUAGGGGUUCUGAGAGGAAGGUCCCCCACACUGGUACUGAGACACGGACCAGACUCCUACGGGAGGCAGCAGUGAGGAAUAUUGGUCAAUGGCCGCAGGGCUGAACCAGCCAAGUCGCGUGAGGGAUGACGGUCCUAUGGAUUGUAAACCUCUUUUGUCAGGGAGCAAAGGGCGUCACGUGUGGCGUUUUGCGAGUACCUGAAGAAAAAGCAUCGGCUAACUCCGUGCCAGCAGCCGCGGUAAUACGGAGGAUGCGAGCGUUAUCCGGAUUUAUUGGGUUUAAAGGGUGCGCAGGCGGAAUGUCAAGUCAGCGGUAAAAUUUCGGGGCUCAACCCCGUCGUGCCGUUGAAACUGGCGUUCUUGAGUGAGCGAGAAGUAUGCGGAAUGCGUGGUGUAGCGGUGAAAUGCAUAGAUAUCACGCAGAACUCCGAUUGCGAAGGCAGCAUACCGGCGCUCAACUGACGCUCAUGCACGAAAGCGUGGGUAUCGAACAGGAUUAGAUACCCUGGUAGUCCACGCAGUAAACGAUGAAUACUAAC
rnacentral:rRNA from 1 species